UCCCUGGUGGUCCAGUGGUUAAGACUCAGCACUUCUGAUGCAGGGGUCAUGAGUUCAAUCUCUUGUCAGGGAA
rfam:TPA: Bos taurus unplaced genomic scaffold, whole genome shotgun sequence.